rnacentral:lncRNA from 1 species
GUUCUAAAAGCGUGGAAUCAUGCUAUCACCAGAAAGGUGGCAAAAUGUAUUGGACCAAAAUGAUCUAUAAUUGGAUAAAAUAUUUAUAUACUACAAAAAAAUUGCAUUUUUGUGAAAAAAGAAAUUACUUUCCGAACAACCCUAGAAUAUCCUCUGGUAUACAGGCAAUUUCUAACAUAGGGAUUGCCUGUAUACUACUCUCUUCUAUAGAAGCAACUAGUUUUACUCUUGAUUGUUUAACCAAUUUGUUACAAUUAAGAAUGUAGGAUUUUUCUAAAACAAAUAGAACCAUUUUUAACAUCAUAUAUUUAUUUCUCAAAUCAGUGUUUUUAACAAAUGUUCAGCAUAAUUGCCAUAAUAUAGAAAUAAGUGAUGAGAGUUAACGCUGCCUGCUAAUAAGUAUACAUCAUCAAUAGCACUAAGGCAGGACUGAUUUACACAAAAUCACACUAUAUAUACUACAUAACAAGUGGAGAG